AUGGAGGAGUUCCGGGCGAUGUCGCAGCAGUUCGAGGCAGGAGCUCGUCAGGAAGUGGAGAGGCUCAAGGCCUUUGUGUCUCAACUGCAGGCAGCUCUGCAAGAGAUGCAGAGCAGCGGGUUGCACUCGGACGACGCCGGGAUCGGGGCUGCGGAAGCCAGGAAGGCCGACCUCAUGGCUGAGAAGGCCAAGCUGGACGAGACCCUGGCUGUAGCCCGCCAGUUCAGAGCACUGUUUCGACAGUAG
rnacentral:rRNA from 1 species